rnacentral:tRNA from 1 species
GGGCUCGUAGUCUAGUGGCUAUGACGUCUCCUUGACGUGGAGAAGGUCACCGGUUCGAAUCCGGUCGGGCCCA